rnacentral:rRNA from 1 species
GCUCUUUCCGCUCUCGUUGUAAGCGUUGUUUGAAGAUAACGAGACUGAUCUAAAAUGCGACGCUGAAAAUGCUACCAAUGAUGCAAAACAGCUCGGCAAUUCAAUUCAACAAGACUAAAAA